UGGGGAAUAUUGGACAAUGGGCGCAAGCCUGAUCCAGCCAUGCCGCGUGAGUGAUGAAGGCCCUAGGGUUGUAAAGCUCUUUCACCGGUGAAGAUAAUGACGGCAACCGGAGAAGAAGCCCCGGCUAACUUCGUGCCAGCAGCCGCGGUAAUACGAAGGGGGCUAGCGUUGUUCGGAUUUACUGGGCGUAAAGCGCACGUAGGCGGACUUUUAAGUGAGGGGUGAAAUCCCGGGGCUCAACCCCGGGACUGGCUUUGAUACUGGAAGUCUUGAGUGUGGUAGAGGUGAGUGGGAUUCCGAGUGUAGAGGUGAAAUUCGUAGAUAUUCGGGGGAGCACAAGUGGCGACGGCGGCUCACUGGACCAUGACUGACGCUGAGGUGCGAGAGCGUGGGGAGCAAACAGG
rnacentral:rRNA from 1 species